ACUUUUUCUUAAUUUUGAAUUUUAAAAAGCCUGAAUAUCAGGUCUCCCCUUUUGCAGGAAAUAGAGAAAGAACGCAAAAGUCCCCCUCCCACCUGCCUUCAAAGCUGAUUCAAGCACAAAAUACUUUAUUGGGGUUUUCUACAGAGAGAGAGAUGGCUGACGAAUCCUUGAAGAAGAAGGGCGAUGGGUUUGAAUCAGCUACACAAAUCACAAUUGCUUCCGCACCGCUUCUCAUUCCAAAUUAACUUUUACGGUCUCUUCCUUUCUGAAACAUGGUGAUGUUGUUAGGAUGCUGCAUACAAGGACCUGGGAAGAUGCUGGUAUACGACUAUCUACUAUCUACGGAACACGAGCCUCGAUUACAUCCUUUUAGAUAAGCAAAAGUCUCCAUCUCUGCGCUUUGCACUCGACACAAAGGUCAUUUGUAUUUCGAGUCUAUAGUACCACGAUCUACUAUUAAAUGCUAUAUUACUUAAGAUAUGAGUGAUUACUGGUUGUCCUAAUAUAUUUAAUAGGAAGCAUCCCUGAAUCUAGAGGCGUGUCUAAGUUGAGUCAACUUCUUGGAGUAAAUAUUGACCCUAUUCAGUUCGUAUAUAUUUUGCAGCUAUUUUUAUGGUGAGGAACAAGGCCAUUGGAAUCAACUUGUUGAUAUUUAUUACCGUAAAGGUGUCAAUAAGGCAGACGCAGUUCCAUUUACUCUUGCAGGUAAACUACUACAAAUUUUUUAGUCGACGGUGGCAAUAUCAAGCCAUUUACUUAUCAAUGGGACAAUAAGUUGACUUUAGUUUUCUUUUAUAUUACACGAGAGAAAAGGGUCAGAUGCGCUGGCUGAUUUCCUGCCUCGAUCACUUUGUUGUUCAUGGCGAAACCAGGCCGCGUCCGUCCCUCCACACUGUAUCGCUCCGGCUCAGUCUCAUCCACUUGCUCUCGCUCCAUCUCCGGCUCCUCUCGCUUAUCCUAUCAUUCCAGAUCUCGCUCCAGAUCCUACUCAUCUGUUGGUUCAUAAUGUUUAGUUGGAAGAAGAAGGAAGACAACGCUGCCAGAAUACAACCUUUUGUAUUCUCUAAUACAUUAAAAACACCAUUUGAUCAAGGGCCUAUAACCUAACAGGAUUGAUAUUGGUGUUGAUAUUCUAAGUGGACUUCUGGCCUGGUCAUCUUUUUCUCGACAUCAUUUCAAAUCAAAAGCAUUGAAUCAAGUUGAAGAUAAGGUUGAAAUUUUAUUGUUAUCAAAGUCAUGGAGAACCAUCCAUAGCUUAUUGAUUUCACAUAUUAGGGUUUAGCAAGACGACAGUUGCUAGCAAGGACACUAGCUGUGAAUCAGUGGUGAGCAGUGGUCAAGGUCAACGGCAAUUAACCCCACAACAUCCUCCACGGGAUGCUAGUCCUGCUGGACUUUUGUCCAUUGCAGAGGAAACUUUAACAGAUUUUCUUUGGAAGGCUACUGGAACCGCUGUAGAGUGGGUCCAGAUGCCUGGAAUGAAGUCCGGAUUCCAUUGGAAUCGUUGCUAUUUCUCACAGUUGCACUGGCGUGGCGUCGCGAGCGUGUGGCUUGGUCAGUCUUGAGCCUACUAGGAAAGUGCUGGGUCUAGUGUAAACUGGUCUCAAUUUGACAAAUAUGAGGGAAUUAGGAUCAAACACUUUAAGACUGUGUCAUCAGUGGAAUGGCAUCGAAAAGGAGACUAUUUUUCUACUGUCAUGCCUGCAGAUAUCCUUCUCAUUCUUAACCAAUUACCUUUGCGCUUGUAUAUUGUGGAACAACUUUGAAGAACCUAUCUGAUGUUACUCACCCUUGGGUCCGUUCUCAAAAACUUGUUGGGCAUUUGUUAUUCUAAGUUGUAUGGUGUCAUUUGCCAAGUCAGCGCUCGAGAAAGCUUUGGCUGAAGGCGUUGAUAUAGGUGGCAGUGGCGCUGAGAGCUCGUCUGCUGUGGAGGAAGCUCAGGUAGAUAUCCAUGACCCGCUACUCAUCAAAGGUUGAUUCUUUCUUUCAAAAAAUAAAUCACAGAGAAUUUUAUGUUUUUUCUUAAUAUAUUUUGGAUACCUGAGGAGUUUAUGUAAUAUGUCAAACCUCUUUAGAGUCUAUAUGAUGUUUUGAUUUGGAUGUUUAUUAUGAGGACCAUCGGAUGUAUAAAUUUUUACAUUUUAAUGGAAUGGCAACAAGUUAUAAAUUGUUA